rnacentral:misc_RNA from 1 species
GAAGCAGAUUGAAGAUGCUUUUAAAGAAUUCAUCUCAAGGGAGGACAUUGGGCAAUAUGGCAGAAUCCGUACAUCAUUUCAACUGCUGCUUUUAACUUUGACAUGGAGAAUGUCGAAUAAAUUAGCAUGUUAGUGCUUAUUGGAGUGUCAGAGAGAAUACUCGUUGGACAGUGAAAAAGGAUGCUGGUGUUGACGUCUCUAUCGAUGAAGUGAUACCAGUAACAAGGGAUGGAGCGAUUAGAAUAGGUGGUACGUGGCUACAUUUGCUGUAAGAAUGAGAGGAAGGAACAUAACGGUUGUAUCGACUUCAAUGACUUAUUGACAACAUGUUAGAUACCAACGACACAUUUACACUUGUUGUUUUUUGAUUUAGAGGGUGUCAAGGCUUGGUGUGCUGUUU